UGUCCAGGGAUGGGAAUCGAACCCACAGUGUUCCGCUUACCGGGCAGAUGCCAUGUCCACUAUGCUCUCUGGAC